rnacentral:rRNA from 1 species
UAUGCCUGGCCUUAAACUUAGAUGGUAAGUUACUUACACCAUCCGCCUGGGAACUACGAGCAUUAGCUUAAAACCCAAAGGACUUGGCGGUGCUUAAUACCCCCCUAGAGGAGCCUGUUCUAGAACCGAUAAUCCUCGUCAAACCUCACCCUUUCUAGCUCAUUCAGCCUGUAUACCUCCGUCGCCAGCUUACCCUGUGAAGGACUUAUAGUAAGCAUAAUUGGUACAACCUAAAACGUCAGGUCGAGGUGCAGCACACGAAAGGGGAAGAAAUGGGCUACAUUAUCUGCUUACAGAUUAUUACGAAAAGUGUACUGAAAAAUACACUAGAAGGAGGAUUUAGUAGUAAGAGGGGAACAGAGUGCCCCCCUGAAACCGGCCCUUAAGCGCGCA